GCCUGAUCCAGCCAUACCGCGUGGGUGAAGAAGGCCUUCGGGUUGUAAAGCCCUUUUGUUGGGAAAGAAAUCCAGCUGGCUAAUACCCGGUUGGGAUGACGGUACCCAAAGAAUAAGCACCGGCUAACUUCGUGCCAGCAGCCGCGGUAAUACGAAGGGGGCUAGCGUUGUUCGGAAUUACUGGGCGUAAAGCGCACGUAGGCGGACAUUUAAGUCAGAGGUGAAAUCCCAGGGCUCAACCCUGGAACUGCCUUUGAUACUGGGUGUCUUGAGUACGAGAGAGGUGAGUGGAAUUCCGAGUGUAGAGGUGAAAUUCGUAGAUAUUCGGAAGAACACCAGUGGCGAAGGCGGCUCACUGGCUCGUAACUGACGCUGAGGUGCGAAAGCGUGGGGAGCAAACA
rnacentral:rRNA from 1 species